GACGAACGCUGGCGGCGUGCUUAACACAUGCAAGUCGAACGGAAAGGCCCUGCUUUUGUGGGGUGCUCGAGUGGCGAACGGGUGAGUAACACGUGAGUAACCUGCCCUUGACUUUGGGAUAACUUCAGGAAACUGGGGCUAAUACGGGAUAGGAGCUCCUGCUGCAUGGUGGGGGUUGGAAAGUUUCGGCGGUUGGGGAUGGACUCGCGGCUUAUCAGCUUGUUGGUGGGGUAGUGGCUUACCAAGGCUUUGACGGGUAGCCGGCCUGUGAGGGUGACCGGCCACAUUGGGACUGAGAUACGGCCCAGACUCCUACGGGAGGCAGCAGUGGGGAAUAUUGCACAAUGGGCGGAAGCCUGAUGCAGCAACGCCGCGUGCGGGAUGACGGCCUUCGGGUUGUAAACCGCUUUCGCCUGUGACGAAGCGUGAGUGACGGUAAUGGGUAAAGAAGCACCGGCUAACUACGUG
rnacentral:rRNA from 1 species